rnacentral:rRNA from 1 species
CGCGUAGGCGGCCUGGUCAGUCGGAUGUGAAAGCCCCGGGCUUAACCUGGGAAUUGCAUUCGAUACUGCCAGGCUGGAGUGUAGUAGAGGGAAGCGGAAUUCCGGGUGUAGCGGUGAAAUGCGUAGAGAUCCGGAGGAACAUCAGUGGCGAAGGCGGCUUCCUGGACUAACACUGACGCUGAGGUGCGAAAGCGGUGGGGAGCAAACA